UACGUAGGGGGCAAGCGUUGUCCGGAAUCAUUGGGCGUAAAGCGCGUGUAGGCGGUUCGGUAAGUCCGCUGUGAAAGUCGGGGGCUCAACCCUCGGAUGCCGGUGGAUACUGUCGAGCUUGAGUACGGAAGAGGCGAGUGGAAUUCCUGGUGUAGCGGUGAAAUGCGCAGAUAUCAAGGAAGAACACCAAUUGCGAAGGCAGCUCGCUGGGACGUUACUGACGCUGGAGACGCGAAAGCGUGGGGGCAAACAGGAUUAGAAACCCUUGGGUAGUCCAAGACCGA
rnacentral:rRNA from 1 species